CUUGCUAUGUUGUCCAGGCUGGUCUCCAAUUCCUGGCCUCAAGCAAUCCUCCCGUCUCAGGCUCCCAAGGUACAGGGAUUAUGGGAGUGAGCCACCACACCGGGACUGAUCUUUCUAACACAGGGAAAUUGUAUUCUUUAGAAGUGAGGGAAUAUUUCCUAGUAAUUUGAUCAAGUAAAAAUAAUUAUAAUAAAGAAGGUAAAAUCAAGCCCUAAUUCCCCAUGUAGGGGAAUAAUGAUAUCAUUUUGGUAAGAUUCUUCCAGACAGUAUGAUUAGGAUGUUACAUAAAUCAAACUGUGCUAUAUACAGUAUGCAGAGAAGGACAAUUCCUUAGCUUGUCUAAAGUCUGAUAGUGUGAAGAAUUUGCUGACCUGCUCUCCAUGCCUGUCUGAGCACGAGUGAAGUGAAUCAGAGAGAGAUUGCAAGAUGGAGAAAGGAGGUACAGUUGGAGAGAGUGGAGGGGGCAGGAAAGACCAGACAGAGCUGCAUCUCCCAUGAAAACAACUGUGUACAUAUGAUAGAGUGAGUACAUAGAGUACAUAGAAGAGUGAGCUCUGAAAGAACUCUCACAUGGACCCCAGAAAGAGGAGUACUCAACGCCUGCUGCACAGAAGGCAUCAGCAGUUAAGUACUGGCUAGAAAAGCAGAGUCCAUCAAAGGAGAGGACCACAGUGGUAGCUGCCUGGAGAGCUGUCCCUGCAAGCUGAACUAUCAGAAGAUGAAGAAUGAGGUCUCCCUGAAAUGCCCACCAUAAGACUGCCAGAUAUGGGACUGCUGGAUGACACUCUGGCUACCCCACUGAGUUUUAUGAAAACAUAACAGAAUAAAGACACUUACUUGUCAACUCAGUUUGAAGGCUGGGAUGAUCAAGGUGCCAGAAAAUUGAGAAUCUAGUGAGGGCUUGCUCUCUGCUUCAAAGAUGACACCUUCUGGCUGUAUCCUGUGGCAGAAGGGGACAAAGAAGCUCCCUCGGGCCACUUCCUUACAAGCUAUUGAGGCACUCCAGAGUGACGGCAUGUGAUCCCCCUGACACAAGAAACAGGCCCAGAUAACACACCGUUCAGACCGACAGCAGUUCUGGUUAUGCUGCAGUACAUCAGAAAAGUGCUCUUAUCCAUCCACAGUUCUUAUCACAGUUACUUAUGCAUAUAUUCAUUUUUUAUAUAAAAGAAUCUUGAAUCGGUCACUUAAAUAUUGAAUCUCAAUAAUAAAAAAUACUAAAAGUAUA
rnacentral:lncRNA from 1 species